rnacentral:rRNA from 1 species
CAUGGCUCAGGGUGAACGCUAGCUACAGGCUUAACACAUGCAAGUCGAGGGGCAUCAGGAAGAAAGCUUGCUUUCUUUGCUGGCGACCGGCGCACGGGUGAGUAACACGUAUCCAACCUGCCCUUUACUCGGGGAUAGCCUUUCGAAAGAAAGAUUAAUACCCGAUAGCAUAAUGAUUCCGCAUGGUUUCAUUAUUAAAGGAUUCCGGUAAAGGAUGGGGAUGCGUUCCAUUAGGUUGUUGGUGAGGUAACGGCCCACCAAGCCUUCGAUGGAUAGGGGUUCUGAGAGGAAGGUCCCCCACAUUGGAACUGAGACACGGUCCAAACUCCUACGGGAGGCAGCAGUGAGGAAUAUUGGUCAAUGGGCGCUAGCCUGAACCAGCCAAGUAGCGUGAAGGAUGAAGGCUCUAUGGGUCGUAAACUUCUUUUAUAUAAGAAUAAAGUGCAGUAUGUAUACUGUUUUGUAUGUAUUAUAUGAAUAAGGAUCGGCUAACUCCGUGCCAGCAGCCGCGGUAAUACGGAGGAUCCGAGCGUUAUCCGGAUUUAUUGGGUUUAAAGGGAGCGUAGGUGGACUGGUAAGUCAGUUGUGAAAGUUUGCGGCUCAACCGUAAAAUUGCAGUUGAUACUGUCAGUCUUGAGUACAGUAGAGGUGGGCGGAAUUCGUGGUGUAGCGGUGAAAUGCUUAGAUAUCACGAAGAACUCCGAUUGCGAAGGCAGCUCACUGGACUGCAACUGACACUGAUGCUCGAAAGUGUGGGUAUCAAACAGGAUUAGAUACCCUGGUAGUCCACACAGUAAACGAUGAAUACUCGCUGUUUGCGAUAUACAGUAAGCGGCCAAGCGAAAGCAUUAAGUAUUCCACCUGGGGAGUACGCCGGCAACGGUGAAACUCAAAGGAAUUGACGGGGGCCCGCACAAGCGGAGGAACAUGUGGUUUAAUUCGAUGAUACGCGAGGAACCUUACCCGGGCUUAAAUUGCAGUGGAAUGAUGUGGAAACAUGUCAGUGAGCAAUCACCGCUGUGAAGGUGCUGCAUGGUUGUCGUCAGCUCGUGCCGUGAGGUGUCGGCUUAAGUGCCAUAACGAGCGCAACCCUUAUCCUUAGUUACUAACAGGUUAUGCUGAGGACUCUAGAGAGACUGCCGUCGUAAGAUGUGAGGAAGGUGGGGAUGACGUCAAAUCAGCACGGCCCUUACGUCCGGGGCUACACACGUGUUACAAUGGGGGGUACAGAAGGCAGCUAGCGGGUGACCGUAUGCUAAUCCCAAAAUCCUCUCUCAGUUCGGAUCGAAGUCUGCAACCCGACUUCGUGAAGCUGGAUUCGCUAGUAAUCGCGCAUCAGCCACGGCGCGGUGAAUACGUUCCCGGGCCUUGUACACACCGCCCGUCAAGCCAUGGGAGCCGGGGGUACCUGAAGUACGUAACCGCAAGGAUCGUCCUAGGGUA